UUGAAAGGCGCUUUUGCGUCACUGAUGGAUGGACCCGCGGUGCAUUAGCUAGUCGGUGAGGUAACGGCUCACCAAGGCCACGAUGCAUAGCCGACCUGAGAGGGUGAUCGGCCACACUGGGACUGAGACACGGCCCAGACUCCUACGGGAGGCAGCAGUAGGGAAUCUUCGGCAAUGGACGAAAGUCUGACCGAGCAACGCCGCGUGAGUGAAGAAGGUUUUCGGAUCGUAAAACUCUGUUGUUAGAGAAGAACAAGGAUGAGAGUAGAACGUUCAUCCCUUGACGGUAUCUAACCAGAAAGCCACGGCUAACUACGUGCCAGCAGCCGCGGUAAUACGUAGGCGGCAAGCGUUGUCCGGAUUUAUUGGGCGUAAAGCGAGCGCAGGCGGUUUCUUAAGUCUGAUGUGAAAGCCCCCGGCUCAACCGGGGAGGGUCAUUGGAAACUGGGAGACUUGAGUGCAGAAGAGGAGAGUGGAAUUCCAUGUGUAGCGGUGAAAUGCGUAGAUAUAUGGAGGAACACCAGUAGCGAAGGCGGCUCUCUGGUCUGUAACUGACGCUGAGGCUCGAAAGCGUGGGGAGCGAACAGGAUUAGAUACCCUGGUAGUCCACGCCGUAAA
rnacentral:rRNA from 1 species